UUACGAACCGCCUGCUAGAAUUCUGGUUGGAGGGGAAGAGUAAGAAAACGGCGAGUGGAAUUAAGCCUAGCCCCUUUUCCCCAAGUUCUUCCAUGUUCUCUCUAAACGUGUCAAAUUCUACAUUUUCUUUCAAGGGGGAGAGGUAACCUUUUUUGGGCCCACAUACAAGACUAUAGGAUAGCAGGUCGCAGCAAAUUAUAUCUUAAAAAGUCCCAUCGCCCAGCGUCGUAAUCGAUACAGUUUAAAGAUUAUGAAAGUUCUAGAUAAGCUAUUCCAAGCGAAUGAGUCACACGGGAGAAUGGACGAAACUCGAAGAUCGAACUGAGCAUCUGUUAUGUGUGAGACGACCGUGAAAACCAAUACACAACAAAUGCAUUUUUC